GUAUAAGCUGUAGUAUAACAUUAGUGCCCAUGUUAAUCACUCGUGUCAGAGAUGGCUAAAUACAUGUCUGUUAAGAGUCAAGUUCCAAAAUGUAUUCACUGAAUUAGAAAAUGUUUGAACAAAUUUGAUAUGAAAAAUUAUGGUAUAGAUUGUCACAUGUUAGUGACCAGGAUUGAAUGAUGUACAGUAACAAUUCAGAUGUGACGAGUGUAUGUUUUAAAGAUGAGUGUAUGUUGUGAAGAUGAGUGUAUGUUGUGAAGAUGAGUGUAUGUUGUGAAGAUGAGUGUAUGUUGUGAAGAUGAGUGUAUGUUGCGUCAGGUUGUGGCAGGUGUGUGACAAGAUCAUUUUGUGAGAGUUGUAUGUUGUGACAGGUGUGACAAGGGUAUGUUGUGACAGGAGUAUUGUGAUGAGUUGUCUGGUAAAAGUUGGUACUAGGUUGCUGUGCGGUAGGUGUUCUGGACGAGUAAUGUGUAAGGUAUGUUUUACAAGUGCCUGUUUUACAAAUUAAAUUGAUUUUAUUUUAA